UACGUAGGGGGCUAGCGUUGUCCGGAAUCAUUGGGCGGAAAGCGCGCGUAGGCGGCCCGGGAAGUCCGCUGUAAAAGUCCAGGGCUCAACCCUGGAAAGCCGGUGGAUACUGUCGGGCUAGAGUCCGGAAGAGGCGAGUGGAAUUCCUGGUGUAGCGGUGAAAUGCGCAGAUAUCAGGAGGAACACCGAUGGCGAAGGCAGGUCUCUGGGCUGACACUGACGCUCAUGCACGAAAGCGUGGGGAGCAAACAGG
rnacentral:rRNA from 1 species